rnacentral:Y_RNA from 1 species
GGCUGGUCCAAAGGUAGUGAGUUAUCUCAAUUGACCGUUCACAGUCAGUUACAGAUCAAACUCUUUGUUCUACUCUUUCCCACCUUCUCACUACUGCACCUGACUAGUCUAAA